GAUGAGGUUUAAUAGUAUUCUUUACUUACUGCCCUUUCUGCUCAAUGAACAUGAACUGUUAUGUAAUUGUACUACUUUGCAGGGGUCACUAGCGUUCAAGAAUUUCAAUAUUGCAGAUGCAGCAGUGGCUUUGGAAACGCAGUCACAAAAAAGUUCACUGCUAACGUAACUUCUGGUACUUUGGAGAUCCGUUUAUUCUGGGCUGGGAAAGGGACAACAAGUGUUCCUUACAGAGGAGACUAUGGUCCUCUUAUAUCAGCUAUCUCUAUAGAUUCUGACUUUCCACCCCCUCAAGAAACCCAGCCAGGAGGUGGAAGCAGCGGUAUAUCGGCAGGUGCAGUGGUUGGAAUCGUGGCGGGAGGAGUCUUCAUUAUAUUACUGGUUUUAGGAAUUCUCUGGUGGAAAGGGUUCAUAGGACCAGCAAAUACUUUAGAACAAGAUUUGAAGGGUGUGGACCUGCAAACCAGCAGAUUUACCUUGAGGCAAAUCAAAGUUGCCACAAAAAACUUUGACAUAUCAAAUAAGAUUGGAGAAGGUGGUU